ensembl:lncRNA
AUCUCACUGGAUAUCCCUGCCUACUGGAAAUCUUCCAAAGGAAUCCUCUGUGGGAACUGAUCUCCUGCCCAGCACAAGUGACUGAUCCUACAGCUAAAACCUUCAGCAGUUGUUCAGUCGGGGUGUUUAACUGCAGAACUACUGGUUUCUUAGGACAAGGUCCCAGCAGGGAAGGACUGAAAUACCUCUAAAGAAAAAUCACAGCUCUGGGAGGCCCAGAUACUUUUUUUGCAUGCUUUCUCUCUCGGCUGGUUUCCAACCUCUGCAAUCUAUGCUGCUUGAUAUUUAGAUAGCUGAGUUGCUGCAUUCACUCCCUUCUGAGUACAGAGGGCUGGUGGAGCUGUUUGAUUUUGAAGUGGAAGGCGAGAUAAUGCUUCUCCCCCCACCCUCUCCUCUUUCUCCCUGUGCAGCUCCUGUCCUUGCAGUUCUCAGGACCUGACUAGCAGUUUUUAAAUGAAGCGAAAGUCUUAAUGUGAGGUGAAUCCUGAGACCACAAACAGUCUGGACUUCAAACAGUGAGAAAAUUGGCGCCGAAUGAUUCCGCACACAAAGCAGAAAACUUUCAUUUCCUGCAGGCAGGAUGGAAUUGACUGUUAUAUUAAGACUUCAGAAGGAGCACUGCCCCGGAGUAAUUUCACUGCUGUCAGGCAAUGUUGACAUCUAGAUUAACCUCUGUGCAGUGAAUUUUACAGCAAAGCUCAUUGUAAUGCAUGUGGGGUAUCUCCUGUAAAUCCCAGCUGAAGCCCACAGUGUCCCACCCUUCUGCACACGAGAAGGGGUUGGGGAGCAGCCGCUAUCAUUUUUGACCCCAGCAGAGCGUGACUCUAACCUCAUCCAGGCCACUUCUGCUGAAGCUGAUUUCCUACCCUGCCACAGUGACAGAGCUUCCAGACAGUACUUUUUUUAAUUCCCCGAAGAGGCUUACAUCACAAAGCUGACUUUUUUUCUUUUCUCAGUGACAAACAGCUCCCUUCACACAUCCACCCAACAACACAGACCUAAUUAAAAAGCACUAGUUAACCAGUGGCAAUUAGCUGCUUGCACUGAUUAACUCCAAAACAUGCAAUCCCUGCAGUGCAGUGAUCAGACCUGAAUGGCAGAUAAAAUCCCAGCUGUUGAGAGACUAUGGCAUCCAACCCUACUUACCAGCCCACAGGUGCAUUAGUAGCUCUGCCUACCACACCAGAAUUGCAUGAAUUAAAGAAGUGCACAGUGCAAGUCAGAGGACAUGGCAGAGGAAUCUCCUGACUCCUGAACUCAGUGCUCAUGUUGUUAAGAUGGAAGGUUAGGCCAGAACCAAGCUCUUUUGUCCUUUAGUGUAAGAGCAGGCCAAGCAGCAAGAGUUCCCAGGUAGGAGCAUCACAGCUUCUUUGCUUUUUUACUUGUGAAGACAGUCUUUUCUGUGGUAAACCUCUGAGCUCUACCAUUUCAUGGAAAGACAAACAAACCACUAACAUCUAAAAAAACUGGAAGGGGAAGGGAAGGAAGUUAUUUGUUUGCUAUAGCUGCACCUUCUCCUUCAUACCCUUAUUUUCAAACUCCUUUGCUCAAACUCCAGAUUGUUCUGCAGUCUCAUGCAGAAAGUUCUAGACAAGACACAGGCUAUCAGGUACAGAAUAGGUUAGUCACUAACCCUAAGGGCAAAAUCCCACUAGUAGUUCUAGGAACAUCAGAGCAACCCAUCCUUUCACCAAUAGGUUUUUUUUUCACGUGUUUGUCAGAGUCUUUGGGUAGCUUCUGAAGAGGUGACAUGCCUGUAGUUCAUCUCAUCUUCAAAUGGAGUUGUGUGCCCCUGGCAUUUCUGAAAUCAGUCCCAUCAGGAAGAUUUCUUCAAACUAACAUUUACUAUUCCCAAUCAGAAUACAGCUGAAAAGGCUAUCCAAGGUUAUAAAGAAGGUCAAGCUGUUGCUUUGGACUGAGGAAGGGAUUUGAUGGACCAAUUUAACCGCCACAGCACAUCAAAACCUGGUGGCUUCAUUUAAAAAGUAAUGAGUAUUGUAUUUCGCUUUAGACAUCCGUGCAUUAGUGUUCUGCAAAUAUGAUUUCCUCUUUGUUUGCAUUAUUGAUGCCAUAAAAUGUCAGACACAUUAAAGGAAAAAAAAAAAGAGG